AUGGUCUGGGGAAAGGCGCCUGUGUGGUUGCACUUUCCCCGUGGACUGUGCAGCCGGUACCAGGCAGCCCCACCCUGACCUAGAGUGAAUCCCCCGGGGGGGGAGUCUUCCCUGGGGUUUGAAUUUGCAAUAACAGGUGUGACCAUUCUAGCAGCAGCUUGAUGAUCAUGUAUGACACUGCAAGGAGGU